rnacentral:rRNA from 1 species
AUAAGAUUAAAGGCAUGCAUGUAUAAGUACACGCUCAAGGUGAAACCGCGAACGGCUCAUUACAACAGCUAUAAUCUACUCGGUCUUGAACAGUUACUCGGAUAACUGUGGUAAUUCUAGAGCUAAUACGUGCACCGAGGCUGUCCCUCGCGGGGCAGUGCAUUUGUUGGAGCAAAACCAGGCGGCUUCGGCCGUUUUUGCUGACUCAGAACAACUCAGCUGAUCGCAUGGGCUUGUCCCGGCGACGUACCGUCCGAGUGUCUGCCUUAUCAACUUUCGAUGGUAGUGUACGUGACUACCAUGGUUGUGACGGGUAACGGAGGAUAAGGGUUCGACUCCGGAGAAGGGGCCUGAGAAAUGGCCACUACGUCUAAGGAUGGCAGCAGGCGCGCAAAUUACCCACUCUCGGUUCGAGGAGGUAGUGACGAAAAAUAACAAGGCUGUUCUCUACGAGGCCAGCCAUUGGAAUGGGUACAACACAAACCCUUUAACGAGUAUCAAUGAGAGGGCAAGUCUGGUGCCAGCAGCCGCGGUAAUUCCAGCUCUCAAAAUGCAUAGAACCAUUGCUGCGGUUAAAAAGCUCGUAGUUGGAUCUGUGCCGGCGACGUGGUCCACCUUAACCGGCGGUACUGCGCUCGUCGGCUUUGGGCCGGUCUUCGUGCGGUGGCCUUCACUGGUCGUCGUCCGUGGCUGGCUGGUUUACUUUGAGCAAAUCAGAGUGCUCAGCACAGGCGUUUCGCCGGAAUGUUCGUGCAUGGAAUAAUAGAAAAGGAUUUCGGUCCUCUUUUAUUGGUUUUGUGGACUGAGAUAAUGGUUAACAGAGACGAACGGGGGCAUUCGUAUUGCUGCGUGAGAGGUGAAAUUCUUGGACCGCACAAGACGGACUACAGCGAAAGCAUUUGCCAAGCGCGUCUUCAUUAAUCAAGAACGAAAGUCAGAGGUUCGAAAGGCGAUCUAGAUACCGCCCUAGUUCUACCCGUAAAMGAUGCCAACUAGCGAUCCGACGGCGGCUCCUAAGGCCCUGUUGGGGAGCUUCCCGGAAACGAAAGUCUUCCGGUUCCGGGGGAAGUAUGGUUGCAAAGCUGAAACUUAAAGGAAUUGACGGAAGGGCACCACCAGGAGUGGAGCCUGCGGCUUAAUUUGACUCAACACGGGAAAACUCACCCGGCCCGGACACCGUGAGGAUUGACAGAUUGAUAGCUUUUUCAUGAUUCGGUGGUUGGUGGUGCAUGGCCGUUCUUAGUUCGUGGAUCGAUUUGUCUGGUUUAUUCCGAUAACGAGCGAGACUCCAGCCUACUAACUAGUGCGGGCGUUGUCUCUGCGCUUGUCACUUCUUAGAGGGAUUGGCUGCGCCUAGCGGCACGAAACGGAGCAAUAACAGGUCUGUGAUGCCCUUAGAUGUCCGGGGCUGCACGCGCGCUACACUGGCAAAGGCAGCGUGCUUGUCCGACUCCGAAAGGAGCCGGUAAACCCUUGAAAAUUUGCCGUGAUUGGGAUCGGAAAUUGCAAUUAUUUUCCGUGAACGAGGAAUUCCUAGUAAGUGCGAGUCAUCAGCUCGCGUUGAUUACGUCCCUGCCCUUUGUACACACCGCCCGUCGCUGCCUAGAACUGAGCCAUUUCGAGAAUAUUCGGGAUCGCUGGUUGCGGGUCCUUCGGGGCACGCCUCUGGCAAGAGAACGAACGUAAUCGCAGUGGCUAGCCGAAAAGUCGUAACAAGGUAGCUGUAGGUGAAAU